GUGUUCGCUUCGGCAAUACGUAUAAUAAAAUUGGAAUAAUACAGAGAAGAUUAACAUGGUCCCUGCACAAGGACGACAUGCAAAUUCAUGAAGAGUUCCAUAUUUAA
rnacentral:snRNA from 1 species